rnacentral:rRNA from 1 species
CAGUAGCGUAUACUAAUGUUGUUGCAGUUAAAAAGCUCGUAGUUGAACUUCUGGUAGGAGUGUCCCGGCCUUUUUGUUUUUACAAAUUGUAUGCUGUGUGACAUCUCUGGCCAUCCUUCUUCUUUGUUUAAAGAAGAUCUUUCACUGUAAAAAAAUUAGGGUGUUCAAAGCAAAAGUUUCUUUGGAAUAUAUUAGUAUGGGAUGAUAAGAUAGGCUCUAGAUGCUAUUUUGUUGGUUUGCACAUUUAGAGAAUGAUUAACAGGGACAGUUGGGGGUAUUCGUAUUUACAUGUCAGAGGUGAAAUUCUUGGAUUUUGGAAAGACGAACUACUGCGAAAGCAUUUACCAAGGAUGUUUUCAUUAA